GGCCCAGUGGCAGAUGGUCUGCGUCUGCACGCAAUCCCGAAGAGCCAACAAACUUGUGCAGAAGACGCUUGUUCGACUCAAGCCUGGGCCG